rnacentral:lncRNA from 1 species
CAAAAAAUAAAAAUAAAAUGAGAGAUGAUUGCACCGGUUCAUAGGGUAGAAACUGCUGCCUCAUUAUUUUGUGUUUUCUGUCUCUCCUAGAACCCUGCCAGGGCCCAGGUCCUCACUUCUGAGAUGGUGAGAGAAGAUGGGAGACUCAGAGAGUGAUGCCUUGUGACCAUUAUCCAUUUUCCACUUUCUCAUAACUAGGUUGUGGCUUUCCAUUGUAGAAUACAAUCUGCUUUUCUGCAGCUUUGGGUAAGAAAAAUAUUUCCUCCUGAUAUUAUGAGACUCUAUUUCCAGUAGUUUUUUGAGACAAAGAAUUGGAAUAUCUUGAGUUAGCACCUGAGCUAAAACUUACACUCUUGCUUCCAAAUUAUUUUGCAUGCUUUCAGGGCAUUAGUUCAACAGACCAUUAAAAAAAAGCUCUUCCCAUUGGUUUUAUGAAAGUUUUACAAAAAUGAACUUGAAAAUUUUUAAAUAUGAAAGAACAAGGGCCCUCCCAGGCCAUGCAUUCAAAAAUAUUGACAACAGAACAUGUUUAUCCCUGGAAUCCUCUGAAUUUUGUUCAGAAUUUUAUCCCUUUGGUUUCUUUUUUAGUUUCUGUUCCUUCAUAUUUUGUUAUCUUGGUGUUGAUCUUUGUUUACCUAGGUUCUGACAUUUUUACCCCAGAAUUAAUUACCCCAGAUGGACCACUCUACUGUGUUUUCCAAGCAAACAAAGUGAGCAGGAAAUAGGAGCUUCCUGAGAAAACUGGCUUUGCAUUUUAAUGAGAGACUUUGCCUUCAGCAGCUCAUUUGUCUUGUGCCUACUUUUCUUAAUUACAAUUGGUUUGUGAUUUGGGGAGGGGGGAGUUAGAUCAAAUUUUCCCUGUUCCAUUUAAAUUUUGUCCCUGAUAUUUUACUCCUUUGUGAAAUAUUGUUCUAUUUUGUUCUGACAGCUACCUCCUUUCUGUUGACUCGCUCCUUGCUCAGAACUUCUCCACACCUAGAACUUUGGCCUAGGAUUUCCUUUCGCUUUUGUGCACUUUCCUUGACAUCACAGGGUAAACACUUAGCAGGUGAUGAGCAUUUCCUCUGGGUUUUGCACAGAUAAGUCACUCUUAACUUUGUUGAGUCCUUCGGUGUCCAGAUUUUUGCCUCUCUCCUCCUUUCUCCACUCCAGCAUAUCACCUCUCUCUUUCUCCUGAUGCAGUGGCAAAAAGAGGUGAUUUUUAUAAGGCUGCCUUAAAUGUAGGGACCACAAGGAACCCAGCUCACCUGUAAUCAAACAAGGCAGCGGAGCACAACAGACACUAGUAUGGCAAUAUGUAAAUCAAUGGAUGUGUAACUGAUGUGAAUCUGCAAUCUGUGUAUAGGGUGAAGGUGGGAGUUCAUAACCCACUUGAAUCAAAGUGUGGAAUAUGAUAUGUCAAGAAAUUUGUAAUGUUUUGAACAACCCACAAUAAAAAAUUAAAAAAAAAAAAACAAAAACAACUGCCCUCCAAUUCCGAUAUACUGUCUCCCUGCUGCAAGUGGGGUAGAGAAAACCAGCCCAGACACCUGGAAGCUUCCCCUCUUCUUCCUCUGCAAAUGCAGGUGCUCUCCAUAUCAGGAAGGGACACCUGAAAUCCAUCAUCAACCUGGACUUUUCCUCCUCCAGCCCUUCUUAUCCACCCCUUCCUCGAGCCUGUCAAUUUCAUUUAUUCAUUCAACAUGUAUAAAAACCAGCUAUGUGUCAAGCAUUGUGCUGGUCUUCGGAGGUACCAACAAAUAAAGAGACUACUAAAUGCAAAAAUAUGAGCAUAAAUAAGCUGAAUUUUGAAGGAUUGUUUGCAGUUUGGUGAUGAACAUCUCCAUUCUGCCUACUUUGUAAUAGAGGGUUUCUUGUACAAGAAAUAUUAGACAGGAUUUUUUUUUAACUGAGGAUUAAACCUGGGGGGGCUCUACCACUGAGUUAUAGCCCCAGCCCUUUUAAGUUUAUUUUUAAUUUUGACACAAGCUUUUGCUAAAUUGCCCAGGCUGGGCUUGAAGUUAGUAUUCUCUUGCCUUAGACUCCCAAGUACAUGAGAUUAAAGGUAUGCACUACAGUGCCCAGCCUCGCCUGUGCUCUUAAGAAAUAUAAAUAUUAUGAAAAACAAAGAAAGACUGAGACGCUAUUCCAGUUAAAAUAGGAUAAAGAGACAUGGUAACCAAAUGCAAUGCAUGAUGCAGGUCAUUCUUCUGUUAUAAUGAGUAUCAAAUUAAUACCGAUACAAAACUAUAUAAUCUUCAGACAGUAUUCAGAUUUUGCCAAUUGUCCUGAUCUUGGAAGCUAUACUAUAGUUAUAUAUAAAAUGACUUUGUGUUUAGGAAAUACACUUUGAAAUAUUUUGGGGUAAAGGAGCAUCAUGUUUGCAAUUUGUUCCCAAAUGGUACAGGGUGGAAGAGUGUGAGUAGAGAAGGGGAGGAAGAAAGAAAUAAAGUAAAUGCAGUGAAAUUGUUAACAUUUGAGGAAUCUAGGUGAAGAGUAUGCAACAAUUCUUUGUACUCUUCUUGCAACACUUCUGUAAAUCUGAAGUUAUGUUCCACCCCCCACCCCAUUUUUUUUUUUAAGAAAAAGAAGUAUCAGGAGGGUCUUGCCAAGGACAAAAGACAACUUUGAACAUGGGAAUUCAGGGUAGUAACUUGGAGUUUGCUCUUUGGUCUGCAGAGGAGCAGGAUUCCAUGUAAGAAUGAGUGUGUUCAAGCAGGGUGGGGUGGUGGUACAUGCCUACAAUCCCAGGGACUUGGGUAGCUGAGGUAGGAGAAUUGCAAGUUCAAGGCCAGCCUGGGUAAUUUAGUGAGACCCUCAGCAAUUUAGGGACAAACUAUCUCAAAAUAAAAAAUAAAAAGGACAGGGAUAUAGCUCAGUAAUAAAGUACCCCAGGGUUCAAUCUCCGGUACUGAAAAAAGAAAAAAAAAAAAGGAAUGAUCGUGUUCACUGGGCACAGUGGCCGAUGCCUGUAAUCCCAGGGACUCAGGAGGCUGAGACAGGAGGAUUGCGAGUUUAAAGCCAGCCUCAGCAAUGGGGAGGUGCUAAGCAACUCAGACGCUGUCUCUAAAUAAAAUAUAAAAUAGAGCUGGGGAUGUGGCUCAGUAGUCAAGUACCCCUGAGUUCAAUCCCUAGUACUAAAAAAAAAAUAAUAAUAAUUGUGUUCAAGCCCAGCAUCCCCUGUGUUGCAGAUCCCAAAAGAUAACUCAUAGCUGGAAGUAAGAUUUCAAUCCAUUUGGGUAAAUACCUAGUUGGAUCAUAUGAUAAGGGUAUGUUUCAUUUUAUGAGAAACUGCCAAACUGUGUUCCGAAGUAGCUGUACCCUUUUGCAUUCCUACUCAUAAUGAAUAAGAGUUCCUGUUGCUCCAUAUGCUUGCCAGUAUUUCGUGUUAACAGUGUUUGGGAUUUCAACUAUUCUAAAAGACAUAGUGGUAUCUCAUUGUGGUUUAAACUUGCAAUUCCCUUAAGACAUACGAUGUUGAGCAUCUUUUCAUAUGCUUAUUUGCCAUCUGUAUGUUAUCUUUCAUGAAGUAUCUAUUCAGAUCUUCUGAGCAUUUUUAAAUUGAGUUGUUCAUUUUCUUUUUGUGCUUUUAGUUUUUUGUAUAUUUUGAAUAAUAGUCCUUUAUCAGAUGUUUUGCAAAUAUGUGUGUCUUGUUUUCUCAUAUCCUUGAGGCACUUGGUUUUUAGUUAUUCUGUUUAUAUUUCUUUGUUUCAGUCCUUGCUAGCUAAUCUUAACUACAGCCAUGUCCUACAGUCUUUAACUAACAACCCUAAGGAGUGUUUCUUUUCUUUUUUCUCUUGUACUGGGGAUUGAACCCUGGGGCGCUUAACCACUGAGCCCCAUUCCCAGCUCUUUUUCAUAUUUUCAUUUAGGGACAGGGUCUUAGUGGGUUACAUAAGGUCUCACUAAGUUGCUGAGACUAGAGAUCCUCCUUCCUCAGCCUCCCAACCUGCUGGGAUUACAGGCGUGCACCACUAGGUCAUUUUUAUUUUCUAUAUAUUUAUUCAUUCAUUUAUUUAUUUUGUGUGUAUGGUCCUGAGGAUUGAGAUACAUCCCCAAACCUUUUUGUUUUGAUAGUAUCUCACUCAGUUGCCAGGCUGGGCCUCAUACUUGCAAUCCUCCAGCCUCAGCCUCCCAAAUUGCUAGGAUUCCGGGUAUGUACCACCACACCCAACCCCUAGAGGUUUCUUUAAAAAAAAAAAAAAAUUUUUUUUUUUUUAAAUGCUGAGAAAAUCAGUGUGCUGGCCAGAUGUGAUGGCUGCACACUUGUAAUCCCAGCUAUAUCAGGAGGCCAAAGCAGGAGGAUCACAAGCUUGUGGAUAGCCUGGGCAACUUAGUAAGACCCUGUCUCGAGAAUACAAAUAAAGAAUGAGAUGGACAUCAUUACCCUAGGUACAUAUAUGGUUGCACAAUUGGUGUGUCUCUACAUCUUAUACAACCAGAGAAUUGAAAUGUUGCCCUCCAUUUGUGUAUGAUAAAUUGAAAUACAUUCUACUGUCAUAUACAACUAAGUAGAACAAAUAAAAAUAAAGUAAAAUAAAAAGGGCUGGAGGUGUAGCUCAGUGGUAGAGUAUCCCUGGGUUUAGUCCUCAUACUGUAAAAAAAUACAAAAAUGUAAACAGUAUACUAUGUUGAACCAUGACUCCAAUUUUAAAUCAAAUAAAGCAAGCUUGUAUUGUGUAC